GCCGCCGGCAUCCUUCCCCUUCCUUCCACGGUUCCACCUAAUUCCGUAGAACGGCGGCCGCCAGGCAAACACCUGGUGCUCCUGGUUCCAUCCGAGGAAGAGAAAAAGGGCACGCACUCAGAUCUCCGACAACGCGUGGAUUGGAUCGGUGACUUUCCGUUGUCCAUAGCAGAGAAAAGAUGGUUAAUGCAAUCAAGUGGUUGUUCAUCUCCUGGUAAGCUCAUGAGAAAAGUAUUUUUUUUUUGAGGGGGUCUAUAAUCCGCACUAUUGCCAUUUCUUCUUCUCAGCGAUAUUCCAAUGGCACAGUUCAUUGUUAAUCUGAAUGCUUCAAUGCCUGCAUUGGAGAGGUUCAUCGUGCACAUGCUCGAUCCCACACACAUGUUUGUUCAUCCUCAUGUGGCUGAGAUGAUCAGAAGCAAGAUAGCAGAGUUCAGGAACCAGAACAGUUACGAGAAGCCUCAGUGAAGGAUCAUCCUACCCAGCAUUUCCUGUGUCACCCUCUGUGUAGAUAUAUUGGCUAAUAUCCAUGUAGAAUGCUAUGUUGUAGUAUGGAUGGAUGCCAUGCCUCCUGAUGAUCUAGAAAUGAUACUUGUUUUGCAUUACAAAAUAGUGACUUGUUCUGACUCCUUGGAGAGCCUUUUAUCUGCUGAUGCAUCAUGUGGUGCAUAUAAA